rnacentral:lncRNA from 1 species
AACGACCAAUAUAUUUUAUUUUAAAUCUAUUAUAUUAUUAUCUAAUUUACAAAAAUAUUCCAUGAUUUUGUUUCAAAUAUUAAUAUUGAAAGGUGACCAAUAGAAAAUGUAAUUAAUAAACCAAACGAAACAAAGAGAAAAUACAAGAACAAACAAAAUAAAGAGAUGCAGAAGACUAAAAAGUUAAGCAGCUUAUAAAUUGCACAAGAGAAGCAAGCAACACUAAAUUAUAACAACUCGUAAUAAAGAUAAAACGAUUCUAUAAUUUUGUCUCUGGUCUUAGACCCGAGACCGAUCCAGCAACUCUCACCCAUUCAAAGCACUCCAACGGUAAUGUUAAGAGUGAUGGAGCAAUCCUGGAGUCUUAGUGUAGCAGCUAUGGGGUGCAAGCAACCUUCUGGAGUCUAUCCUUAGCAGAGACGAGACACCUCCAACAAUCAUUCAUUCCGAGAUCCUGGUAGCAAGCGGACACUCCAAAAGGCGACCCUGGGUUUCAAUUCGGGUAGCUGCAAUCCAUUUGCCGAUCCCCGAAGAUGUUCCUUCUGCUUAUCUUAGUGUCCUUAACAAAGCUGUUGAUGAGAUUCUUCACGUUGUGAUUGUACGCUACAGUCGUCGAUUUCCCCUCAGGCCCGUUGAUGUUGGUCGUGUCGGGGAGAUUCCGCUCAACAACUAUACACAGUAGCAUAAUUGCUGCGGCCGAGUAUAGUUUCAACAGAGAAUACAUUCUCUGUACAGACGUAGUUCGGGUUAGGGUUCGGGUUUGGGAUGUGUGUUUAAGCUAAUUAAGCUUUGGCUGUGGUAUGUGAAAUCA